rnacentral:rRNA from 1 species
GGGGAAUAUUGGACAAUGGGCGAAAGCCUGAUCCAGCCAUGCCGCGUGAGUGAUGAAGGCCCUAGGGUUGUAAAGCUCUUUCACCGGUGAAGAUAAUGACGGUAACCGGAGAAGAAGCCCCGGCUAACUUCGUGCCAGCAGCCGCGGUAAUACGAAGGGGGCUAGCGUUGUUCGGAAUUACUGGGCGUAAAGCGCACGUAGGCGGACUGGUCAGUUAGGGGUGAAAUCCCAGGGCUCAACCCUGGAACUGCCUUUAAUACUGCCAGUCUAGAGUCCGAGAGAGGUGAGUGGAAUUCCGAGUGUAGAGGUGAAAUUCGUAGAUAUUCGGAGGAACACCAGUGGCGAAGGCGGCUCACUGGCUCGGUACUGACGCUGAGGUGCGAAAGCGUGGGGAGCAAAC